CAACAUUUUAGGAAUCUGCUAUGGAUUCGAGGUGAUGGAAUGUGCAGAAUCCCCAAACAGGCCUUUUACUUUCCUUAAAACAAGAUUUGAAAGGGCACCAGAAAUCAUUAUUUACGACAAUGCGUGCAAUCUUCAUCAGUAUGCCUUAAACAGGGAUCCAGUUUUCUUCUCUCAUACAAGAAUGGUUGUGGAUGGAUUGCAUUGGGAUAACCAUACUGCCUGUGCAAUUGGCUACAAGGGAUUAGACUACCCCUUCAUACGACGGAUCAACACCCAGAUUGUUGAACAAAAUAAUGCGAAAUUGAAAAAAUUAAAAUCAUCUUUAUCUUACAUGACGCCCGUUCAUUUUUUGAUGAGUUUGAAAUUCUUUUUGUGGCACUGCAAUUUUACAUUAAAAAGGUGUAGUCAAAGUGGGAGAAACAAUACGUGCUAAAAUGUAGGACGUUGGCUAUCCACAACUAACAAUGUAUGUUUGAUUUACACAAGAAAGGGCGUUUCUUGUACUUUUGGCACAAACAAAUAUGUUUAUGUGUUGUGUAAAAAUAGCUCUUCUAAAAGUGCCACCAAAUGUUCUUGGUCAUAUAUAAGAGUGUUUAAGUCCUUUUAUCUUUGCUAUGUAUUUAAAUGACCUAGAAGUUGAACUGUUCUUAAAAGGUGCUGAAGGUGUUAAUAUUGGUACUCUUAAGAUUUUUCUGUUAAUGUAUGCAGAUGACAUUGUGAUUUUUGCAAAUUCUGCAGAAGAACUGCAAAAAAAAUCUAGAUUUUUUAUCAACAUAUUGUAACAGAUGGAAAUUAACUGUUUAUAGAGAGAAAACCAAAGUUAUUAUAUUUAGAAAAGGUGGUAGACUUCCAAAUAAUCUAAACUUUUAUUAUGAUGGAAACCACAUAGAACUUGUGAAUAAGUAUUCUUAUCUCGGUUUAAUAUUUAACAUUAUGAGGUUCAUUCAAGGAAUCACAUGAGAAAUUGUCCGGUCAGGCUCUUAAAGCGAUAUUUAAACUCAGAAAAUAUCCGUACAGUUACGUUUAUAUUACCGUUGAACAUAUGUUAGAUCUCUUUGAAAAGAUGGUUUAAUCAAUACUGUUUUAUUGUGUUGAGAUUUGGGGAUUUACUCGAGCAACGCCGAUUGAAAGAGUGCAUACAAAGUUUUGCAAGUCUGUAUAAGUUGUUAAAUGUAACACUCAAAAUGAUUUUAUUUAUGGUGAUCUUGGCCGUAUGGAUUUACAUUCCCAAAGGCUUGUUUGUAUUAUUAAAUAUUGGUUGAAGAUCACUGGCUGUAGUGAUAGAAAAUAUUUGUCAUGUAUUUACAAUACUAUGUUAAAUGAUAUUGAUUAUAACCACGUAAACAAAACUGGGCUUCACUUGUUAAAGAUACGUUGUGUAGAUUAGGUUUCUAUCAUGUAUGGCUGCAACAGAGUGUUGGAAACAAUAACCAGUUAAUUAGUGUAUUUAAAAAUCAGCGUGUAAAGGACAUAUUUGUACAGGAUUGGCAUAGUAAAUUGGAAAAUUCAUCUCAAGCGAUAUUCUAUAACACUUUCUGUAAUUUCGAAUUUUAACCAUAACCUAAACAUGUAAAUGUUAAAUGCUAUAGAAAUGCUCUUACAAAGUUACGUAUGUCAUCACAUAGAUUAAAUAUUGAAACAGGUAGAUGGAAUAGAACGCCAAUGGAACAAAGGCUAUGUAACAAAUGUAAUAAGAGGACGAAUUUCAUUUUCUUUUUGAGUGUAAGCUAUAUGAUAGUGUACGAGGUAAAAAUCUUAAGCAUUAUUACUGUCAUAGACCAAAUAUGUUUAAAACUGUCGAGCUGAUUACAAAAGAUAUGUGUGAAAUAUUACGAAACCUAGCUGUAUGUAAGCAAAGCCUUCGAACUGAGAAAAGCACAUUAUAUAAUGCAUUAAUAUUUAUAUCGUUUAUUGUAUAGCAUAAGCUAUAAUUCACUAUCAGUUUCCUGAUUCACUUGUCGGUAUAUCAAAAUUGCAAUCGUUGUCGGUGUUACUGGGGUCUCUGCAUUGCAAAUAUAGGCAUAAAUAAUUAUCAGACACCAUAAAGACAAAGUAUUAAGCGUCAUACGUGUAUUACAUGACUACAGAUAAAUUUUAAAUUAUGUACACAGGGAUUUAUAAAAAUAGAAAUCGUUUUUAACACAUGGUGAUGUAUACAUAUUGUAUAAUAUUAGUGUGGUAGGAUCAUAUGCAUGUAAAAGAUAGAUCCAUUAUUGAUGAUAACAGUGUCAUUGAUGAAACAGUUUAUUCAAGUCUCAUCACCUUGGAAUUAGUGUACUUAUGUUUUCGUAAUAUACUAUGAAUAUUGCAUCAUGUUAUGUGAAUAUAACAUUAUUAUAUGUAAUAUAAAAUAUAUGAAUAUUACAUCAUGAUAGGUGAUAUGUGUUUACCAAAAGUAUAAUAUUAAUAUUACAUCAUGAUAUGGGAUAUAUGUGAUGUUAGGAAAAUGUGAUGUUAGUUGAUUCCAGGAAAUAAGAUCUUGCAAAUAUUUGCAUUUAUCAUGACCGGCGCUCUGAGUAUUUGAAUUAAGAACAUACAGUUUGUUUGAAAUUUGAUAUUUAUGCCCCCCUUCGAAGAAGAGGGGGUAUAUUGCUUUGCACAUGUCGGUCGGUCUGUCGGUCCGUCCACCAGAUGGUUUCCGGAUGAUAACUCAAGAACGCUUAGGCCAAGGAUCAUGAAACUUCAUAGGUACAUUGAUCAUGACUCGCAGAUGACCCCUAUUGAUUUUCAGGUCACUAGGUCAAAGGUCACGGUCACAGUGACUUGAAACAGUAAAAUGGUUUUCGGAAGAUAACUCAAGAACGCUUAUGCCUAGGAUCAUGAAAGUCCAUAGGUACAUGAUCAUGAGUGGCAGAUGACCCCUAUUGAUUUUCAGGUCACUAGGUCAAAGGUCAAGGUCACAGUGACAAAAAACGUAUUCACGCAAUGACUGCCACUACAACUGACAGCCAACAUGGGGGGCAUGCAUGUAUUACAAACAGCCCUUGUUUGAACUUGAUGUUGGAUGUACAGUGAGAUGUUAGUUUACGUUCUACGUAAAACGAAUUUGUGUUAAUGAUUUUGAAAGUGUUAUUUUUUAUUGACACUUUUUGUAGAACAUGCUUUUCAAAUAGAAAUAUUGAAAUAUCAAAUUAAUAUAUGCUGUGUAAAUACUGUAUGUUUCUUUAGAAAAUUGAUUUUGAAUUUCUAGUGGAGGCGAUAUGUAGGAUUUGUAUCAGAACAUUAUUGUUAUUCAACCAUAACGUUUUUUAUGCAACACCAUGUGUUACGAAUAUAUGAAUGAUAUGAUAUGUGUUGAACACGGACCAUAACAGCCUAUUUAAACUGUGUAAAUAUGUAU